AUUCCAGCUCCAAUAGCGUAUACUAAAGUUGUUGCAGUUAAAAAGCUCGUAGUUGAAUUUCUGGUCUUGGACAGCGGUCUGCCUCAAACGAGGUACGCACCAUCUAUCCGAGUCCAUCCUCGGGGAAAACAUGUCUGUGAUUCAGUUCAUGGGCAUGGGAUCCUCGUCAUUUACUGUGAGCAAAAUAGAGUGUCCAAAGCAGGCUUAUGCCGUUGAAUAUUUUAGCAUGGAAUAAUAAGAUAGACCUUGGUCUAUUUUGUUGGUUUGUACUCCAAGGUAAUGAUUAAUAGGGACAGUUGGGGGUAUUCGUAUUCAAUUGUCAGAGGUGAAAUUUUUGGAUUUAUUGAAGACGAACUACUGCGAAUGCAUUUACCAAGGAUGUUUUCAUCA
rnacentral:rRNA from 1 species